rnacentral:rRNA from 1 species
AGGUAGAUAGGCUGGGGGUGGAAGUGCAGCAAUGCAUGGAGCUGACCAGUACUAAUCGGUCGAGGGCUUAUCCAA